rnacentral:rRNA from 1 species
GUGAACGCUGGCGGUAGGCCUAACACAUGCAAGUCGAACGGCAGCACAGUAAGAGCUUGCUCUUACGGGUGGCGAGUGGCGGACGGGUGAGGAAUACAUCGGAAUCUACUUUUUCGUGGGGGAUAACGUAGGGAAACUUACGCUAAUACCGCAAACGACCUACGGGUGAAAGCAGGGGAUCUUCGGACCUUGCGCGAUUGAAUGAGCCGAUGUCGGAUUAGCUAGUUGGCGGGGUAAAGGCCCACCAAGGCGACGAUCCGUAGCUGGUCUGAGAGGAUGAUCAGCCACACUGGAACUGAGACACGGUCCAGACUCCUACGGGAGGCAGCAGUGGGGAAUAUUGGACAAUGGGCGCAAGCCUGAUCCAGCCAUACCGCGUGGGUGAAGAAGGCCUUCGGGUUGUAAAGCCCUUUUGUUGGGAAAGAAAAGCAGCAGGUUAAUACCCCGCUGUUCUGACGGUACCCAAAGAAUAAGCACCGGCUAACUUCGUG